rnacentral:tRNA from 1 species
GCGGGGUUAGCUCAGCUGGGAGAGCGUCAGACUGAAGUCCACUUCACUCUUGCAAUCUGAAGGUCAUGUGUUCGAUCCACAUACACCGCA